GCGGUGGUAGUGUAGUGGUUAAGGAGACAGGCUAGCGUGCAGUAGCCUGAAAGUUGUGGGUUCAAUUCCCAACUUCCACC
rnacentral:tRNA from 1 species